AUUGAACGCUGGCGGCAUGCCUAACACAUGCAAGUCGAACGGGGCAGCAAUACCCUAGUGGCGGACGGGUGAGGAAUACGUAGGAGUUUGCCCUUAAGUGGGGGAUAACCCGGGGAAACCCGGACUAAUACCGCAUGAUCUCGUGAGAGCAAAGCAGGGGACCGCAAGGCCUUGCGCUUUUGGAGAAGCCUACGUCGGAUUAGCUAGUUGGUGGGGUAAUGGCCCACCAAGGCUACGAUCCGUAACUGGUCUGAGAGGAUGAUCAAUCACACCGGAACUGAGACACGGUCCGGACUCCUACGGGAGGCAGCAGUGGGGAAUAUUGGACAAUGGGCGAAAGCCUGAUCCAGCAAUGCCGCGUGUGUGAAGAAGGCCUUCGGGUUGUAAAGCACUUUAGGCUGGAAAGAAAAAGCUUUGGCUAAUAUCCAAAGCCUUGACGGUACCAGCAGAAUAAGCACCGGCUAACUCUGUGCCAGCCGCCGCCGUAACAC
rnacentral:rRNA from 1 species